CCGGGUGAGUAACACGUGACUACCUGCCCUUGAGUGGGGGAUAACCUCGGGAAACCGAGGCUAAUACCGCAUAACAUCGCAAGAUCAAAGGAGCAAUCCGCUUUUGGAGGGGGUCGCGGCUGAUUAGCUAGUUGGUAGGGUAAUGGCCUACCAAGGCGAAGAUCGGUAUCCGGCCUGAGAGGGCGCACGGACACACUGGAACUGAAACACGGUCCAGACUCCUACGGGAGGCAGCAGUGGGGAAUUUUGCGCAAUGGGGGAAACCCUGACGCAGCAACGCCGCGUGGAGGAUGAAGCCCCUUGGGGUGUAAACUCCUUUCGACCGGGAAAAUAAUGAUGGUACCGGUGGAAGAAGCACCGGCUAACUCUGUGCCAGCAGCCGCGG
rnacentral:rRNA from 1 species